AGUGAACGCUGGCGGCGUGCCUAACACAUGCAAGUCGAACGGGCUAGUGCUUCGCACUAGUCUCUUUCUGGGGUUGUUACUCUAAGGCUACCUGCUAAGGUUAUUGCUUUAAAGCAGGGGUUUUAGGAGACUUUCCCCGAAAGGGGCCAGUGCGGAGCACUGGCCAGUGGCGAACGGGUGAGUAACACGUGGGUAAUCUACCCUCGAGUGGGGAAUAAGCUUCCGAAAGGGGUCGUAAUGCCGCAUAACGUUUCAUAACGAUGGUUAUGAAACCAAAAGCCCAAAAGGACGCUCGAGGAGGAGCCUGCGUCCUAUCAGCUUGUUGGCAGGGUAAUGGCCUACCAAAGGCUAUGACGGGUAGCCGGCCUGAGAGGGUGUCCGGCCACACUGGAACUGAGACACGGUCCAGACUCCUACGGGAGGCAGCAGUGGGGAAUUUUGCGCAAUGGGGGAAACCCUGACGCAGCGACGCCGCGUGGAGGAUGACGGCCUUCGGUGUAACGUACUCGUCAGAAGGAACGAAAGUACCCGACG
rnacentral:rRNA from 1 species